UUGCUUGGUUACCAUAGUAUCCUCUGCCUCCAAGUCUCUCCUGAUGAUGUCAGUAUGCAUACAGGGGUUGUUCAGAUCAUCUACGUGGGGAUGAUUCACCCCACAAUAAAGCCCCUCUCUCUCGUUGCUCGCUUUCCAGUGUGAUUUCAGACAUCUGUAGCAAUGGAAGGUUCUGAAUGAUGACUGACGCGGGUUUGGGUGAUACCCCUCACAGCCCCUGUCAUUCCGGAGUGAUAAGGCACCCGCGCGUCUAGCCCCAGCGCCAGGGCCCGCGAGCGGCGCUGGAGGGAGGAAAGCUUCCGCCUGCGGGCCGGACAAAAGUCCCUCCUGCCCACGGCUUUCUGCCCGCCGCUCGUGACCGAGACGCCUCGCCGCGGCCAGCUCGCUGCUCUCGCGGGCGGAUGGUGUGUGGCCGCCGCAGGACGCCCGCCGUGCCCGGGCCAUGAAGUAGCGGCUGCUGGCGGCGCCGCUGCCCAACCGCCAGCCCCAGCCCCGCGCUGCGCUGCCCGGUCCUCUCCCGGCGGGGUCGGAUCGGCGUG
rnacentral:sRNA from 1 species